rnacentral:rRNA from 1 species
UACGAAGGGGGCUAGCGUUGCUCGGAAUGACUGGGCGUAAAGGGCGCGUAGGCGGACGGCACAGUCACGCGUGAAAUUCCUGGGCUUAACCUGGGGACUGCGUCUGAGACGUGUGAUCUAGAGUGAGGAAGAGGGUCGUGGAAUUUCCAGUGUAGAGGUGAAAUGCGUAGAUAUUGGAAAGAACACCGGUGGCGAAGGCGGCGACCUGGUCCUUGACUGACGCUGAGGCGCGAAAGCGUGGGGAGCAAACAGG